rnacentral:rRNA from 1 species
GACGAACGCUGGCGGCGUGCUUAACACAUGCAAGUCGAACGAAGUGGCGCACGGGUGAGUAACGCGUAUUCAACCUGCCCUUCAGAGGGGUACAACAGUUGGAAACGACUGCUAAUACCGCAUACUGAAGGUGGGUAUUGCGUGUGAUUGGCUAGUUGGGGCGGUAAAGGCCCACCAAGGCGAUGAUAAGUGGCCGGUCUGGGGGGGUGAACGGCCACAUUGGGACUGAGACACGGCCCAGACUCCUACGGGAGGCAGCAGUGGGGAAUCUUCCGCAAUGGACGGAAGUCUGACGGAGCAACGCCGCGUGAGUGAUGAAGGGCUUCGGGUUGUAAAGCUCUGUUAAUCGGGACGCGGUACCGGAAUAGAAAGCCACGGCUAACUACGUGCCAGCAGCCGCGGUAAUUC